UACGUAGGGUACGAGCGUUAUCCGGAAUUAUUGGGCGUAAAGCGCGCGCAGGCGGUUUCUUAAGUCUGAUGUGAAAGCCCACGGCUCAACCGUGGAGGGUCAUUGGAAACUGGGGAACUUGAGUGCAGAAGAGAAAAGCGGAAUUCCACGUGUAGCGGUGAAAUGCGUAGAGAUGUGGAGGAACACCAGUGGCGAAGGCGGCUUUUUGGUCUGUAACUGACGCUGAGGCGCGAAAGCGUGGGGAGCAAACAGG
rnacentral:rRNA from 1 species